UUAAAGUUGUAUUGAAGUAGAGUUGAUUUACAAGGUCGCGAACAUUCUUACUGUACAACAGACUGAUUCACUUAUACGUGUACACACAUCCAUUGUCUUUCAGAUUCUUUUCCCAUAUAGAUGAUCACAAAACACCAGGUAGAGUUCUCUAUGGGAUACGGUAAGUCCCCAUUAGCCAGUUAUUCCAUAUACCUCACUGUGCAUUUACCAGUCCCAACCCCUAGCCCAUCCCUCCCCGCCACCACCCCUGCCACCUGUCCCCUUUGGUAGCCAUACGUUUUUUCAAAAGCUGUGAGUCUGUUUCUGUUCUGCAGAUAAGUUCAUUUAUAUCCUUUUUUUCUGAUUCCGCUGUUUUUUCUAAAUGCUCUGACUCUAGGGCCAGCUCCCCCACUAGAUGCUGGAGAUGCAAAGAGGAGGAAGACUCAACCCUCACUGUAGAAGACAAACUCCUGAGCAGCUAAACUCAUCAGCUUUCACUGGCUCAGAAAAAGAAAAUGGCUACGUGGAGCAGAGGAAGGGAAAAUUUCCCCUUGCUUUUGGGUUUCAAAAGCACAGAUUCUGAGAAGGUUCUCAGAUUACCCAACUAAGACUGGAAACAAAAUCGGUCACUGGAGAGAGAAGAUAGUCAGACAAGAAGUAUGGAUCAGCUCCUAAGAAAGAAGUACUGUGUGCCCUGCUCUGUGCACCUAGCCCAGACCAGGCUGUGGGAUGCUACUGGAAAAUCCAGGUGGAUUUGUAGGAUCUGAAAGCAGAGGAGGAUCUCCUAGCCCUGUCCUAGGGGGAGUCCUGGGUAAGUGACAAGGUUGAGGAAGAGACAUGUCUGUGUUGUGUCUGGGCAGAAUGGAUAUGCUGUUAGACACAUAGAAUUCCUCUGAAUUCCAGUAAGGCCUGGGAGCUGCAGAAUGAUGGCUGUGUGCCCUGGAGUGGCCCAGAAAUAGCAGAAAGAGAGAGAGAGCAAGUGCCACUGAACCCAGAGAAAUCUGGGGGAGUUGGAGGUGCAGGC
rnacentral:lncRNA from 9 species